rnacentral:rRNA from 1 species
UGCAAGUCGAACGAAGCACUUUAUUCAGAUUCUUUCGGGAUGAUGAAUUUAGUGACUUAGUGGCGGACGGGUGAGUAACGCGUGGGUAACCUGCCUUACACAGGGGGAUAACAGUUAGAAAUGACUGCUAAUACCGCAUAAAACAGCAGCACCGCAUGGUGCAACUGUCAAAGAUUUAUCGGUGUAAGAUGGACCCGCGUCUGAUUAGCCAGUUGGUGGGGUAACGGCCUACCAAAGCGACGAUCAGUAGCCGACCUGAGAGGGUGAUCGGCCACAUUGGGACUGAGACACGGCCCAAACUCCUACGGGAGGCAGCAGUGGGGAAUAUUGGACAAUGGGCGAAAGCCUGAUCCAGCGACGCCGCGUGAGCGA